rnacentral:rRNA from 1 species
CUACGGGUGGCACCAGUAGGGAAUAUUGCACAAUGGAGGAAACUCUGAUGCAGCAAUGCCGCGUGAGUGAUGAAGGCCUUAGGGUUGUAAAGCUCUUUCAGUAAAGAAGAUAAUGACGGUAUUUACAGAAGAAGCCCCGGCUAAUUUCGUGCCAGCAGCCGCGGUAAUACGAAAGGGGCUAGCGUUGUUCGGAAUCACUGGGCGUAAAGCGUACGUAGGCGGAUUGGAAAGUUAGAUGUGAAAGCCCAGGGCUCAACCUUGGAACUGCAUUUAAAACUCCCAAUCUAGAGUCCGGUAGGGGAGCAUGGAAUUCCUAGUGUAGAGGUGAAAUUCGUAGAUAUUAGGAGGAACACCAGUGGCGAAGGCGAUGCUCUGGGCCGGUACUGACGCUAAGGUACGAAAGCGUGGGGAGCAAACAGGAUUAGAUACCCUGGUAGUC